GACGAACCGUGCGAACGUUGUUAGGAAUCGCUGGGCUUAAAGGGCGCGUAGGCGGCCGCUCAAGGCGGGGGUGAAAUCUUGACGCUUAACGGCAAAAGAGCUUUCGAUACUGGGCGGCUGGAGGGAGGUAGGGGUGCGCGGAACUUCCGGUGGAGCGGUGAAAUGCGUAGAGAUCGGAAGGAACGCCGGUGGCGAAAGCGGCGCACUGGACCUCCACUGACGCUGAGGCGCGAAAGACAGGGGAUCAAACGGG
rnacentral:rRNA from 1 species